AACGAACGCUGGCGGCAGGCCUAACACAUGCAAGUCGAGCGAGACCUUCGGGUCUAGCGGCGGACGGGUUAGUAACGCGUGGGAACGUGCCCUUCUCUACGGAAUAGCCACUGGAAACGGUGAGUAAUACCGCAUACGCCCUUCGGGGGAAAGAUUUAUCGGAGAAGGAUCGGCCCGCGUUAGAUUAGAUAGUUGGUGGGGUAACGGCCUACCAAGUCUACGAUCUAUAGCUGGUUUUAGAGGAUGAUCAGCAGCACUGGGACUGAGACACGGCCCAGACUCCUACGGGAGGCAGCAGUGGGGAAUCUUAGACAAUGGGCGCAAGCCUGAUCUAGCCAUGCCGCGUGUGUGAUGAAGGUCUUAGGAUCGUAAAGCACUUUCGCCAGGGAUGAUAAUGACAGUACCUGGUAAAGAAACCCCGGCUAACUCCGUG
rnacentral:rRNA from 1 species